rnacentral:rRNA from 1 species
CCUACGGGAGGCAGCAGUGGGGAAUAUUGGACAAUGGGGGGAACCCUGAUCCAGCCAUGCCGCGUGUGUGAAGAAGGCCCUCGGGUUGUAAAGCACUUUCAGUGAGGAAGAACGCCUGGUGGUUAAUACCCAUCAGGAAAGACAUCACUCACAGAAGAAGCACCGGCUAACUCCGUGCCAGCAGCCGCGGUAAUACGGAGGGUGCGAGCGUUAAUCGGAAUUACUGGGCGUAAAGCGCGCGUAGGUGGCUUGAUAAGCCGGUUGUGAAAGCCCCGGGCUCAACCUGGGAACGGCAUCCGGAACUGUCAAGCUAGAGUGCAGGAGAGGAAGGUAGAAUUCCCGGUGUAGCGGUGAAAUGCGUAGAGAUCGGGAGGAAUACCAGUGGCGAAGGCGGCCUUCUGGACUGAAACUGACACUGAGGUGCGAAAGCGUGGGUAGCAAACAGGAUUAGAUACCCCUGUAGUC